rnacentral:rRNA from 1 species
UACGUAGGGUGCAAGCGUUGUCCGGAAUUAUUGGGCGUAAAGAGCUCGUAGGCGGUCUGUCGCGUCGGCUGUGAAAACCCGGGGCUCAACCCCGGGCCUGCAGUCGAUACGGGCAGACUAGAGUGUGGUAGGGGAGACUGGAAUUCCUGGUGUAGCGGUGAAAUGCGCAGAUAUCAGGAGGAACACCGGUGGCGAAGGCGGUUCUCUGGGCCUGUACUGACGCUGAGGAGCGAAAGCGUGGGGAGCAAACAGG